GUAGCUCAGUUGGUAGAGUGCUUGCCUAGGGUGCAUGAAGCCCUGGGUUCAAUCUCCAGC
rnacentral:tRNA from 1 species